rnacentral:lncRNA from 13 species
CUGUACAGCUGUCUCCAACACACCUAGUCUGUGUCCCAAUGGCACCCUAUUCUCUACGUAGUGCACUACUUUUGAAGAGGGCCAAUAGGGCUCUGGUCUAAAGUAGUACACUAUGUAGGGAAUAUGGAGCCAUUUUGGAUGCUCCGCAACAACCCCAUGAUGGUAUUGAGGACAUUCACUACAGUAUCUAUUCUCUUCUGAUUCAAAACCAACCGACCAGCGUUCCAGUUUGCUUCAAACAAAGAAGAAGGGUGAACCACCCCACCCAACCCAGGCACAACCCAGGCUUAGGUACAACCCAGGCUCAGAUACAGCUGAUGUUCACAUACCCCAGCCAACCCAGUCUCAGGUACAACCCGGUCUCAGGUACAACCCGGUCUCAGGUACAACCCGGUCUCAGGUACAACCCAGGCUCAGGUACAACCCGGUCUCAGGUACAACCCAGGCUCAGAUACAGCUGAUGUUCACAUACCCCAGCCAACCCAGGCUCACAUACAACCCAGUCUCAGGUACAACCCAGGCUCAGGUACAACCCGGUCUCAGGUACAACCCGGUCUCAGGUACAACCCAGGCUCAGACACAGCUGAUGUUCACAUAUUACCUUGUUUUUAUUUCCCCUGUUAUCUGUCCUCCUCAGAAGGAGAGAUUGAGUCUCACAGACAAAGUACCCAACCUCUGGUUCUGGUAUAGAAUCAGCUUCAUCGUCACAGGAACUACAACUGUUAUUAUUAUUAUGAUUAUAUACCAGUUUCACUCUUUAUGUUGUUAUUGGUUUAUGUCAAAUAGGUUGUUUGGUGUUUAGUCUCUGACAUGCGUCCGAAAAGGCACCCUAUUCCCUAUAUACAGUGCACUACUUUUGACCCGGGCAUGUAUAGUGUACUAGUGUCUGGGCCCUUGUAGUGCACUACAUAGGGAAUAGGGUGCCAUUUGGGACAUACACUUGGUUAUUGUACUGGGCACAAGAUACAGAAAGACAACGGUAUCUGGUGUAGUAGUUGUUGUUAGUGAAGCUGGCUGCCGUGGCUGGACAGGAGCACCCGGAGGAACCAACAGCUAGCCCACCGUUGCUGUUCUCCUCUCUUGUUACCCUUGAUGUGGGUCGUGGCUUUGGGGUGGACGUAUUGGGGAGUCUUACAUGUUUCCUCAGCUAGUCUCUACCUGGGUGAAAGUUUGUGACCAUGUACUGUGUAUUCAUGAUCAAUGUAAUAUAAUAAUAAUAUAUAAUAAUAUAUAAUAUAAUCAUAUAUAAUAAUAUAUAAUAUAGUAUAUAAUAUAUAAUAUAAUCAUAUAUAAUAAUAUAUAAUAUAGUAUAUAAUAUAUAAUAUAAUCAUAUAUAAUAAUAUAUAAUAUAGUAUAUAAUAUAUAAUAUAAUCAUAUAUAAUAAUAUAUAAUAUGAAAUAAUAAUAUAUAAUAAUAUAUAAUAUAGUAUAUAUAAUAUAAUAGUAUAUAAUAUAUAAUAUAAUC